UUCAACAAAUUGCAAUCCUUUUGAAUAUUUGUUCAUCUGUUACCAAAAUUUCCAAAUUUGUCCUAUAAAAUCUGUCUUCAUUCUUCUUCAGCUGAAUAUGGCGAAAGUUUUAAUCUUCCCAAGAUGCACAUCAUUUCUACAUCCCUCAACAUCAACUGCUACAAAUCACUAAACCAUUUUAGACUAAAACCACUCUCUAAAAUCCUUUCUUUUUAUUCUUCUUCUAUAAUCCCUUGCUCUAAAUUACCCCACUACAAAACCAAACUUGAAAAAUCCCAAUGCAAAUGGAGGACAAAUCAUAUUUUUGUCCAAACCAAUCCACUACUUUCUCUUUUAGAAACCAAAUGCAAAUACAUGACUCAACUCAAACAAAUUCAGUCUCAGAUGAUUAUUACUGGCCUAUUCUCAGAUGGGUUUGCUUCAAGUCGUUUAAUAGCCUUUUGUGCCCUCUCAGAAAAGGGUAAUCUUCAUUAUUGUAAAAAGAUUUUGUAUAAUAUGGAAAAUCCAAAUACAUUUUCUUGGAAUAUGGCUAUAAGGGGUUGUAGUGAAAGUGAAAAUUCCAAAGAUGGAAUCUUUUUGUACAAACAAAUGCUUAAUAUGGAAAACCCAAAUACAUUUUCUAGGAAUAUGGAUAUAAGGGGUUGUAGUGAAAGUGAAAACCCCAAAGAUUCAAUUUUUUCGUAUAAUCAGAUGUUCAUAACUAAAGGGAGUGAAUGUAGUUGUUUGAAGCCUGAUAAUCAUACUUUUCCUUUGUUGCUUAAGAUAUGUUCUAGAUUGGGUUUGUAUUAUAUGGGACAGGAGAUUUUUGUGCAUGUUUUGAGGUUUGGUCAUGAUCAUGAUGUGUUUGUGCUCAAUGCAAUGAUUCAUUUUUUGGUAUCCUGUGGGAAGUUGGAGGAUGCAAAUAAGCUGUUUGAUGAAAGUUCUAUGAGGGACCUGGUUUCUUGGAAUUCAUUGAUUAAUGGUUAUGUUAGGAGUGGGAGACCGAGGGAGGCGUUGAUGGUAUUUGAGAAGAUGAAAAUGGCAUCUGUGGAGCCCGAUGAAGUUACUAUUAUUGGGAUAGUAGGGGCGUGUGGUCAGCUUAAGAAUUUGGAGCUAGGGAGGAAGUUACAUAGCUAUGUUAUGGAUAUAGGCUUGAAUUUUAGCAUACCACUUUGCAAUGCACUCAUAGACAUGUAUAUGAAGAAUGAGAGUCUACAUGAAGCAAAGGCUUUGUUUGAUAGGAUGGAGGAGAGGACCAUGGUAAGUUGGACUACAAUGAUUAGUGGGUUUGCUAAACUUGGGCUUUUGGAUGAAGCGAGGAGGCUUUUUAAUGAGAUGCCAGAUAAAGCUAUUGUACAGUGGAAUGCCUUGAUCGGAGGUUAUGUCCAAGCUAAGCGUGGUAAAGAGGUGCUGGCUUUGUUUCACAAAAUGCAAACCUUGAAUGUAAAACCUGAUGAAGUGACUAUGCUUAGUUGCCUAUCAGCUUGUGCACAACUUGGCGCACUUGAUAUUGGGAUUUGGAUUCACCACUACAUCAAAAAACAUAAGCUUUGUCUAACCGUUUCACUGGGUACUGCGCUUGUUGAUAUGUAUGCCAAAUGUGGUAAUGUGGAAAAGGCACUUCAAAUAUUUCAUGAGAUGCCCGUCAAAAACUCAUUGACUUGGACAGCUGCAAUUGGUGCCUUAGCAUUUCAUGGAAAUGGACAUGAUGCUCUAUCAUAUUUUUCAAAGAUGGUUGACAGUGGCUUGAUACCAGAUGAUGUCACCCUUCUCGGGGUCUUAUCAGCUUGUUGUCAUGGAGGUUUGGUUGAAGAAGGGCGAAAGCUGUUUGCUGAAAUGAGCGCAAAUUUCAAAAUUCCUCCUAAAUCUAAACAUUACUGUUGUAUGGUGGACCUUUUGGGAAGGGCAGGGCUUUUGCAUGAAGCUUAUGAGCUUGUCCAGAGAAUGCCAAUGGCAGCUGAUGCUUCAAUAUGGGGAGCAUUGUUUUUUGCUUGUCGAGUUCAUGGGAACGUCGAGAUAGGGGAAAAGGCAGCUCUGAAACUUCUUGAGUUUGACCCUGCUGAUAGUGGAACUUAUGUCUUACUUGGUAAUAUGUAUGUUGAAGCAAAUAUGCGGCAUAAGGCACGAGAUGUUAGGAAGAUGAUGGAUGAAAGAGGAUUAGAAAAAACACCUGGUUGCAGCUCCAUUGAAGUAAAUGGAAAACUUUCUGAGUUUAUUGUUAGAGACAAGACACAUCCACAGUCCGAUCAGAUUUAUGAAAGUUUGAUUCACUUAACGAGGCAUAUGGAAAUAGUUAAUUAUUUUCCAUUUAUCGGAUAUGACCUCCUACAUGAUACUGAUGUUUAUUGCGCAACAUAAGAAAUAUGUCGCCAAACCUGCUUAAGCUACGUAAAAGCUUGGGUCCCCGACGAUGUUCCAAUGAUUAGGAGGGGACAGGAGUUGACCUGCAAUCGUCAGGCCAUGAGCCUGACACUUGAUCAACUCCUUGUCCUGCUGAGGAGCACAGGACCACAGUUAGCUGGUCAGGUAGAAGGAUGAUGAGAUGAUGGAUGAGCUAAAAGGUUUUAUCUGUGAACAUUUUCUCAGCAUAUAUUGGCAGUAGCCAAAUACAAACCCCGGUACAAGGAUUUCCAGAAGUGGAUAAUAAUCCAAUAUUAAAGGCAGCCCGGUGCACUAAGCUCCCGCUAUGCGCGGGCUCCGAGGAAGGGCCGGACCACAAGGGUCUAUCGUAAUGCUGUAUUGUGGUCCGGGCCCGGGCCAAACGGGCCUGGCUGAGGCGGUCCCGGGCCAAACGGUCCCAAUGUGUGGAACCGGCCCGCGGCGGUCCUAAGCCCACAUGGUCCCGGGCUAAAUGGGCCGG